GCCAGCAUGGCAUAGUGGUUUGAGUGUUAUACUAAGACUAUGAAGAUUAGGGUUCAAUUCCUUGCUCAGCCA